GACGAGAACCAUGGCCUGAGUUCUGGGGCACCUCCAACACUAGGAAUUCAGUUGUGAGAGAGGGACCAGCAAAGAAAAUUGAGGAGAAAAACAAGAGAGUGAGCUAGCCUGAAAGCCAACUAAAGAAAGUAGAGUCAAGAAGGAAGGAGCUGUUAGAUGAAAUAAGAUCUAAAAUUGCCACUGGAUUCUGCAACAUUGAAGUCAUAAGUGAUCUCGACAAGAAGAGACUCAUUGCCAAGGUGGAGCUGAAAACCUGAUUGGAGAGGAGUUAAGAAAGAAUUGGAGGACAGAGCAAAUUUAGACAACUCUUUCAUUGAGUUUUCCUACAAAAAGAAGCAAAAUACUGUGAUAGUAACUGACAGAACAAAGUAUGUCAUCUCAGGAAUUUUUGCAAUAGAAGCAGAGAAAAAGUGUUCCCCAAAGUUGUUGGCAUGUACCAUAAAGGUGAACAUCCACAGUCUUGCUGUUGCAAUGAUUGGUCUAGUUAUAACUUUAACUGAAAUUACACUAUUUUUACUGAACCAAGUAGAGCUUCAAUGGGCACACAAAAGUGGAAUUAUUCUUUCUGUGUAUUUGUGUAUAUUUGCCAUCUUGGAAUUUUACAUUGCAAAUACAGUGGCCAGAUGGGGAAUCCAAGCAUCUCAGCAUGGCAGCUAUUCCAUAUAAUCUCCUGGGUUUAGGGCAACAGCAGUCUUGGAAUUCAAACUCACUCACAACUGACUGAAAGUGGAUCAACCUGUGAUCUGAUAUGAAAGAAGGAAUGAAAAUAAAGAACUCAUAUUGUGUGAAGAAAUGAGGGCCUUGCCGGAGAAACUCAGGUUGAGCUGUGGACUGGUUGUUGGAAUAGAAGGACUACAACCUGGCAAUUCAGCAUUUACUGAACCCUCUCCAGGAUCUUUGGGAUUUGAGUGAUGCAUAUUGAAAAAAAUCUGAAAUAAAGGAAAACUUCUCAAAGGGA